rnacentral:rRNA from 1 species
ACCCUUUUUUCGAAGGGAUAGGGUCGGUUCGGCCGGAUUUUACACAAGUGUUGCAUGGCUGUCGUCAGCUCGUGUCGUGAGAUGUUGGGUUAAGUCCCGCAACGAGCGCAACCCUCAUCCUUAGUUGCUAUCAGGUAAUGCUGAGUACUUUAAGGAAACUGCCAGUGAUAAGCUGGAGGAAGGUGGGGAUGAUGUCAAGUCAUCAUGGCCUUUAUGGAGUGGGCUACACACGUGCUACAAUGGUGUCUACAAUGGGCUGCAAGGUGCGCAAGCCUAAGCUAAUCCCUAAAAGACAUCUCAGUUCGGAUUGUACUCUGCAACUCGAGUACAUGAAGUUGGAAUCGCUAGUAAUCGUGGAUCAGCAUGCCACGGUGAAUACGUUCUCGGGUCUUGUACACACUGCCCGUACACGCCAUGGGAAUUGGUUUCCCUUCCGAAA